AUGAUAUCAAGCGCAUCCCAAGGAAGUUCACAGUUCUCUUCUACCUUCACCUUUUUUUGUGACAAGCAGUUCUCUUCUACCUUCACCUUUUCCCCUUUGUAUCACAACAAUCACAAUGUUAGGUGAUUUAUAAACAUAUGUUUUUUUUUAUUUAUUUCUAAAACAUAAGAUAUUUUAUUGUUUAUCUAAUGAGCUUACAGCAUAUGGUAGAAACAUGGCGAAUAGGAAAAAAAAAAUGAGCUGAAUAUAAUGAGAAGGAGGAUAUAUAUAUUUGUGUGUGUUAACCCUCUGCUUCCCGGGGGGAAGGGGGCCUAGUAGUAAUUUGAAGUUCGACCGCGAGGUAAGUGAAACCUGGCCAAGAACCCAGGAAUUGAACUCGGGGGUUCUCCCGAUCGAUCUAUCCUUUGGUAAAGCUCAUUAACCACUUGAGCCCAGAAUGACUUAGAUCCCAAGGAAUUCGCUUAUAAUAGAUCCUUUUUGACUAGACUAAAUUAUGGAUCUUGUCUUUCGAGAUUUGAACCCCUAUUUUAAUCCAUCAAUUUAGUUAGUGUGACAACUUAAUCCGUCAAUUAAUUAGGACUCUAUUACACUCAAUCCAACAAAGAAUGAACAAUUUAAAUAUGGUAGAUAGGAAAAUAAACAAGAAAUCAUGGCAUUACAGCAUGUACAUGGCGAAUAGAAAAAGAAGAAAAAAAAACUGCAGAAAAGUAUCAACAUAUAUUAUAAUGAAAUAAAGUACUAACCAGUGGUCUCAAGUUGAAAAGGAAGUGUGAUUUGAUGUUCCUUUGGCAGCAGAAUACCAUUGGUUUUGGGAGUGAAAGAGGCCAUCGAUUUGCACAGCGAUUAAGAGUUUUCUCGAACCCUACAGAGUUUUGAGCAAACUGGAUUGUUU
rnacentral:lncRNA from 1 species